CACCACAGGCAAACAGCUUUUAUUUUGUGUGUGCUGGGGACGGGGGUGCGGUGGGCAACAUCUUAGCAGCAGGGUUGCCAACUAUUUUUACAAAAACCCGUCCACUUCUUCCUGAAAACCUGCCCAAUCAGGAGCGAUGGAAUGGUCUACAGUAUGAAAGGCAGCACUUAGAUCAAGAAGAAUUAAAACUGAAGGAAAGCCCAAGUCCGAGCUUAUCAGCAGAUCCUUCACACUCUGACAAGGGCUGUCUCGGUGCUAUGUGCAGCACAAAAACCAGACAUUAACAGCUCAGCUCAUCGCUACCACCCUCACGCUGAAUCAGGAGCGGCAAAGACGAACACACACUGUCCUCCGAAGCAUGUGCUGUCAGCCGACCGCUUCUUUUCACUCUGCAGGCCCGCCAUGCAGCCAACCCAGAGCUACAGCGUCAGAGGACAAUGCAGCUCUGGGCAGCUUACAGGCAAGCCCGCAGACGCCCGGCCAGUCUACAGGGGUUGCUGCUGCGCAGUGAGCUGAGGACACCCUGGCCGACCUAAACAAUUGAGGCAACCUUGACCAUCACUUUUACAAUUUUCCCCAAGAGGAGGGAGCUGCUGCCUACAGAGAAGGAGCGAGGAGGGGAGGUCAGGAGACCACCUCCACCAGCAUUAGUUUCGCUGCAAGAUUUU